CGAGCAGUCCAGACGGUCGCUGGAUCAUUAAAAAAUCCAGAGGAAAGUCCGAACACCAUAGGGCAGGGUGCUCCAUAACGUGGAGUCGCGGCGACGUGAAGGAAAGUGCAACAGAAAGUAUACCGCCCCGCGUUUAAGCGGGGUAAGGGUGAAAAGGUGCGGUAAGAGCGCACCAGUUCCCUGGGUGACCGGGGAAGCUUUGUAAACCCCACCCGGUGCAAGACCAAAUAGGGGAGUGUUUGAGAG
rnacentral:RNase_P_RNA from 1 species